AUGUCAGAGAUUGAGCGGGACAAGCUCUCGCUGCCAGAGCUGAAAGGCUUUUUAGGAGAUCAUAUGACAGUGAAGGAAAGCAUGAAGUUCCAUUUUUUGUUGCCUGGCAGGGAGUUGAUAAAUGGACUGCUUUUCUUAUUUGAUGAUGUUGGUUGCAUGAAGAUGUCUAACUACAUUACAGAUGGAGGGGUUGCUGAAGUAUAUGUGGAGUAUAAUGGGGAAGAGGAUGAACCAGAGGAAGCAGAUAGUGGGUCUGAUUUUGAAGGAGAUGAGCUUGAGAACCUGAUGUGUAUUGGCAGUGAAGAUGCACCUAAUUUAGUUAUCACAGCAGAAGAUGAGCAUGGCAAUGGAAAUGAACAGACUAGUGGUGCAAGAGGAGAGAUACUUGAACACAUACUUGUUCCCAAUAAAGGUGGUGUGGUCACACAAGUGAUUAGCAGUCCAUUGAAGAAAAAUGUGAGAAGUGGUUAUGCUAGUCAGAGUUCUCAAGUUGUUAAUCCAACUCAAGCAUAUGAUAUGUCCCAAGUUUCUGAAGUUGUAGAAAAUGUUGCAGUAGAUGCACAACAUGCUGUUGUAGUUCCACAAAAUGGUACUGCCAUUUCUGAAAGUGUCGCAGUACUUUCUGAAAAUGUUGCAGAAGUUGCACAAGAUGUUGUAGAUUCAUUUGACUCAGAGGACAUUGAGUAUGUGCCACAUACAGAUGACAGUGGGGAAGAAUCAGAGGUUGUUGAGCUGAGAAAGCAUGCAAGAAAAUUCAGGAAAAGGAUGAGAGAUUCCAAGAGUCUGGGAAUGGUUUUUAGAAGCAAGAAGCAGUUAACUAAAGCUAUAAAGAGAUAUGGACUUGCUACCAAAAGGAGCAUUUCCUUCUUAAAAUCUGAGGAGCACAGAGUUAGAGCAAAAUGGGACUGGCCUGGGUGUCCAUGGUUGUUAUAUGCAGCAAAAACAAGCAGGUGCUCUAGGUUUCAAAUCAUCACAUUUGAAGAUGAACAUGAAUGUGCACAAAAUAGAGACAACAAACUGGUUACUGCUAAGGUCAUUGCCAAAAGGUAUGAGAAUUUCAUCUUGGCAAAUCCUCUAUGGAAGAUUGACAGCAUGAAAUCCGCAGUGAUGCAAGAAAUGUUUGCUGAUGUAUCAAUUUCAAAGUGCAAGGCAGCAAAAAAAAUUGUACUUGACAAGCUUUUAUGUGGUAUGAAAAAUGAGUACACAAAAGUGUUUGAUUAUCAGUUGGAACUUCUUAGAAGCAACCCGGGGAGCACAGUGAUUGUUUGCUUGGAUCCAAAAGAGAUGGAGCAGAACAUUUUCCAGCAAUUUUAUGUUUGUUUCAAUGCAAUGAAGAAAGGGUUUAAAGCAGGAUGCAGAAAAGUGAUUGGGCUGGAUGGAUGUUUCUUCAAGGGAGCAUGCCAAGGUGAGCUACUAGCUGCAAUUGCCAGGGAUGCCAACAACCAAAUGUAUCCAGUUGCAUGGGCUGUUGUGGAGAAGGAGACCAAGGAUACCUGGGCCUGGUUUAUUGGACUUCUUAUCAAAGAUUUGGACAUUAAUGAUCAAGGUGCUGGGUGGGUCUUUAUUUCUGACCAACAAAAGGGCCUAAUUAUAAGCAUGAGAGACUACUUGCCUAGGGCAGAGCAUAGGAUGUGUGCUAGGCACAUUUAUGCCAAUUGGAGAAAGAAACACAAAGACGAUGAGUUGCAGAAAAGGUUCUGGGCCAUUGCAAAGGCUUCAAACAGGGAAGAUUUUAACUACAACAAAGCCAAGCUAGCUCAACUUACUCCUGAUGGUGCAAAGGAUAUCAUGAGGACAGAGCCCAAGCAUUGGGCUAGGGCUUUCUUUCCAGUUGGGGCAAAAUGUGAAUCAGUUGACAACAACCUUUGUGAAUCAUUCAACAAUGCUAUUAUAGAAGCUAGGUUCUACCCCAUUAUUUCACAGCAAGAGAAGAUCAGGAAGAAAUUAUAUGUUAGAGUUCAAGAGCACAGAGCCAAAAGUGACAACUGGAAGGGCACAAUUUGCCCAAACAUUUUUAAAAAACUCAAGGCUAGUAUCAAGAGAACUCAAUUUUGUGAGGUCCUCUGGAAUGGCAAGGAGGGCUUUGAGGUCAAGCAUCUGACUGGGAGAGGCAGGAGGGCAAAGGAAAAAGAAUAA
rnacentral:rRNA from 1 species